AUUAAUUGUUUGACAGCACUAGUACAUUUUCAGCCAAUUUUCAUUUUUGAGUAAACGGUUACUGUAAAAAAUGUUUGUGGUGUAUGUUAGUGCAGAUAAUGUUCAUAUCUGUAAUCUUUUGUAAAAAAAAAAAAAAUAAAUCCUCCUCUUCUCUCUGUUCUUACAUUUGUAGUCCAUAUCAUUCUUCAUCUGUGCACUAAAUGGAUCCAUGCCCUUUAUUCCUGCCAGUCUUUUCAUGUCUACCUUUUUGCCAUUGACAUCGUGCCCACAAAUGUUGGCUGUCUCUCACAGCUCUUGGUUUUCUCCAUCAUUGCCUCUCAGAAAUCAGAGGUUAAUCUUCAUUCUGUAAAGAUUAUUCCUCUCAGGGCAGAUCUCGCUCUCAUCUCCUCCCCUCAGAGCAGCUACAGGGGAAAUACUCCUAAGUCCUGUCUACUUUAUCAGUGCUUCUCCUCUCUUUCUACUUCUUUUCUCUGAUAGCUUUUCAGAUUGUUCCUGUUUGUGUGCUGUGUGAAUGUUUCUGCCGGCUGUAAUCGAAGAGAGUUUCUCACAGAGGGAUCAUGGAUUCUCUCUCUCUGUGUUUCUCAGAAGUGACAAGUUUGCGUGUGUCUGCAAGAGAGCGCGAGAUCAAGGGAAUCCAAGGUUACAGUCGACAUGCAUACUUCCUCCUGAGAUUAGGGACACGAUAAUGAACUUCAGUGCUGCUGUCUUGGCAACAGGAGAGCGACCUUGUGGGCUGAAGGCACAUUUAAGGUCCAGAGAUCAUUGCGGCAGAGGCAGAGCGUAGCUGAAUGAUUGACUGGUAGCCGUCAUUAUCAGACGUGUUCCGUUCGACAUGCGAGUCCAGACUGAGGAGGAGGUGAGAAGGGCCCAUGUUCAGUGAGCGUGUAAUGAAGCCGGCUUUGGAUCAGGGUCACUGACUCGAGUGCCAUUUAUUUCUGCAAGGAGACUAGUCUGCUGUGUGCUUUAAAUUACUGCGGACGGGCUUGGUGAAACCUGGAUUACUUGGUGCUGAGUGAGCAGACGGUAAUAUACUUACCCUCACUGUCUCUGUGUUCCGGCCUUCAGGACAGAAGCAGUCAUCCAUAAACCACAUCGUCUAGAUCUUUAUUUAUUUUGCCACCAAUCAACUCUGAGCAGCCUGCCGGACAGCUGCAGCAAGUGAAGUCACUUUACGCUCAUUAGCAUGGACAAGAGAUGAGACUCUAGACACACACACACACCACAGAUUCCCUCCCUCCACCCAUUUAUGAGUGUGUCGUGCCUGUGCAUGUAGCACCAAGGAGCUCCAGAAACCUCUCUCCGGAUUUCAAUUGUGGGUUGGCAUUCAUAUGUUUGCAUAUAUAUUUAUGGUCUCAGAUAUUUUUAAUGUGUUUAAAUGGAUACAGGUUUGACCUCCCAGGAGGGAAUGAAUGACUACAUGAAAAUGAAGGAAGGAAAAUUUGAGCAUAGGAAAAGGAAAGUGGAGGAGAUGAGAUGAGAAGAGAACAGAUGGUACGUGGUGGGAUAAGUCAUAAAAAUUGCUUUUCACCGUUGCAAAACUAACUUCCCCCCAAAAAAGUACCAUAAAUCAUACUAUGUUAUUGUGACGGUACUUUGAUAUAUACCUAGGUAAUGAAUGACUAACAUGGUAUAUUGCAAAUACUUGAAACAUGAAGUUACCACGUUAGUCUGAAAAACAUGUACUGUUCUUUCUUAUAGUGCUUCUUAUUAAGCAUAAAUGAAAAAGCUAACAAGAACAUAGAGACAUAUGUUCUUGAGACACCUUGAGCAGAAAAUUGGAUUUCAUGAAAAUGCUAUUUUAAAUAUAAAAGUUUAUCCUGAGAGUGAGUGGAGAGAAUAAAAAAAACCUAAAGGAGCGAUGAGGUGAGCAUGGGUAUGAAAGCAAUAAAAAGAGAGAGGAGGGAGAGAUGGUUAGAGGAUAAAAGGGAAUUGUGGGGCGGAAAAGAGAGAUACGAAAGGCUUGUCGAGUGGAGGGGAGAGAUGCAGGGCUACGUGUUAGUUCCUCUUCAUUUGCUCUCUGUAUGUGGUGUAGAGGUCAGGCUGAGAGCUGGGACUCGGGCCAUGAAGGAGAGAGCAAAGACAGCCUUAGGCAGGAAUACACUCACCCUGUACACACUAAUGUUCUGUCUAUAUAUUCCUCUAUCGCAUAAACAUACAUUAAGUCAUUGUAUGCAUGAAUUUAAUUUGUAGUGUAUUUUUUGAAAAUAAUGAGCAUCAUGUUCCUUUUAUUUAGCACUGAAAAGUAUUUUUUGAGAACAGAGUCACAAAUAGUAAUGUUGCAUAGCCCUGGAAUUGCAUAAUGUAGUGAUGUCAGACAGACCUGACAGAUAAAAUACAGAGCCAGAAUUCAGACAUGGAUGACACCGUCGCCUCAUUUCAAUCUUCUAAACAUGCGGCGGCCCAAAGAUUCCUCCAUCAAGUGAGUUCUGUUUACCUUCACCCCAGUAAUCAUGGGAUAUAAUCAGCAGAUGGAGCGCGAGGGGCUGCGCUGUUUCCAUUUCCGAAAUCAAAUAUGUGCUCAUCAUAAAAAAAAAGAGGACGAAAAGAAAAAAGCCAUCAGAGGAAUCCAUCAGAUCAGCGGAAUAAAUCUAAUUUCCCUACAAAUACAUCUGUAAUAUUUCAAAUCCACGGCCCGGGUUAAUCUAAUGCUUCAUUUAAAUUCAAAUAAAGCCAAAGUCGUGUCUUAUCAAUAAUAAGAAGCCGGCGGAAAAAUAAAUGAAGUUUAAGGCGGUGGAGGGGAGAGAGCGCAGGGUUUUCUUGUGUGUUUUAUUCUCAAAGAGUCAAUAAAAUAUAAAGAGACUCAAUUAUUCUAUUAAGCUGAAACAUUGCAUCAUCACUGAGCUUUACUGAGUCAACAGAGAUCUUCGGCCGUGUUUGAUGAAGUUUGGUUUAGACAGAGCAUACUUGAUAAGCAGAGCCUCGCUGGAGGUGUCUGUUUUACAAAUGAAUGAGAGAAGAAGAGAAAGGAAGGGAGGAAGUAUUCUCUGGAACUUUAUUUUCAGUGGUGUUUGCUAUUAAACUUUGACAUAUCACUCCUGCAGCGUUUGUGCUACAGACAUGAAUGAUACCUCAAAUUAUUGUGCUACAAUUUUUUGACGCCAUCAGACAUAAAUAAUAUAAAAUUACAGUCAAGAAGGAAUGUGGGGCUGUUUAGUGUUCUAAAUGAGGUUCAUUUCGAUAGGGAUUUAUGCAAUAGCAAAAGAUAUAGCCAUGCAGAUUUUGCAACAGGUUUAAGUCGGUCACGUUUUCCAACAGAAAGCUGCUUCGCUAGAAUUUCACCAGUGUACAGUUGUACAUUUUCACAAGCAAAAUCCAGUCUUUCAACGACAGAAGUUUUACCCACACAGAUUUCGCAGUGGGUUCAAGUUGGUCCUGCAGAAAGUUGCUUUGCUGAAAUUUCACUAGUGUGAUCUUUACUGUUGUUCAGCUAAAUUUCACAGGUGAAAUCCAGUCAUUUCAAAGGGAUUCCUUGCAAUGCAAAAAGAUUUAGCCAUACAUAUUUUUGCAAAAGGUUCACUCAGAUUUGGCAUGUUUACCAACAGACAGAUGCUUUGAGAAAUUUCACAAGAGCCUGAUUAUACCUUUACCACUGUUUGCCGAAUUUUCAUGGGUGAAAUCCGGUAAUUUUAAUAGGAAUUUAUGCAAUCUGAAAUUUUGCAUGGAGACGAAAGAUUUUCCUAUGCAGAUUUUGCUGCAAGUUCAGGUUGGUCAUGGAGAUUUCCAGUGUUAACCAACAGAAAGUUGUUUGGUUUGAAAGUGAUUUCUAUGUGAGCUUCAUAUAUCGCAAAAUUAUAGACAAUGGAGUUUUUUGGACGGUAAAGUUUGCUGAAAUUUAGCUAAUGUGAUCACAACUUUAGAUUGUUUCUGUGAUUUGGCCCAAUGGGGCAGGAACUUUAUAUCAUAAGUCUUACAUUAAGAUCAGAUCAAGUUCUAACUGAAAUCCCCAUGGUUACUAAAAAGAUGCACAAGUCCGUUUUAAAUAAGCCAGUAAGCAACCUCCUAGAAACACCCUAGCAACCCGCCAGAACCACUUUGCAACCUCAUAGCAAUCCACUUACAACCACUCAAAACACUAGUAA